rnacentral:rRNA from 1 species
GUAACAAGGUUUCCGUAGGUGAACCUGCGGAAGGAUCAUUAAAA